rnacentral:misc_RNA from 1 species
UGGCUCUCGCAUCGAUGAAGAACGCAGCGAAUUGCGAUAUGUAAUGUGAAUUGCAGAUUUUCAGUGAAUCAUCGAAUCUUUGAACGCAUCUUGCGCUCCUUGGUAUUCCGAGGAGCAUGCCUGUUUGAGUGUCAUUAAAUUCUCAACUCCCUUUGAUUUUUUCAAGGGUGAGCUUGGAUUGUGGAGGUUCUGCUGGCUGCAAAGUCAGCUCCUCUGAAAUGCAUUGGCAAAGGCGUAUGCAUGAAUUGGCCUUUCGGUGUGAUAAUGAUCACCGUGGCUGGAUUGCUUUAAUGCUUGUGCCCAAUCUCUUUUCCAUUCAGUUGGAAAGAAAACCCACUUGACAUUUUGACCUCAAAUCAGGUAGGACUACCCGCUGA